GCAGGGACAGCUCCCAGAGCUCUGAUGUGUCUCUCCCAGAUUGUAAAGCAUGAAGACAGCUGCCUGGAGUGGACUGAGUGACAGACGAUGUGUUCAGGUCUCUCCUGUGACACCCAGAGCCCUCAGUUCUCUUUAGACACCAGUGUCUGAAGUUCCCUGUGAUUCUAUGGCUUCUGUGUGAAGAACUGUGGAGCCCAGCCCGCCCUGCACACCUGGACCCUGUCCCUGCACUGCCUGUGUUCCCUACCAAGGCCAACCUUGCUGGUCCAGCCUAGGGUUCAGGGGUGGGGACAUCUGCAUCCUGUCCCUCCCUGCUACCCUGAGCUUGAGCUCCUCACUUCCACACUGAGAAUAAGAAUCUGAGUGUGAACUUGAUUGUUCACAUCCUUGACACAAGUGUGGAUGGCUUUUUAAAUUGCUGGAUGGAAUACUUAGAGGUUUUUUGUUUUGGGGUUUUGCUUUGUUUGGUUUUGUUUUUGAAAAAAAUAAAAGGCAGAUGGAGAAGCUUCCAG
rnacentral:lncRNA from 1 species